rnacentral:lncRNA from 1 species
UGGACAAAAAAAUAAGAAGAGUGUGUGACAAAGGCUGCAGGAGGCCCUUAAAGUCCAAGGAAGAGUCUCUCCCUUUUGCAAACGCCAGCCACAGAGGUUUAUUUUUCUCCCUGAGAGAAGGAAGAGUGAAGGCUGAGACUGAGACAGAAGGACAGAAGGAGAAGACUUAGAAGCCAGUGAGCCCGGAACCACGAGACGCGCUCUGAGGACACGGGGCCUCGGGGAAACCGGGCACGGGCAGGGGUUGGUCUUGGCUUCCCCGCAACAUUGCCGCGAGCUCGGGUGCCGUCUCCACUCGCAGGCUGGCCUGUCCUCUGCAGCCACGAGCUCAGGCACCGUCUCCGUUCAUAGGCCAGCCUGUUCUCUGCAGCCUGAGGUCCCUGUGGUGCCAACAUCCAGAUGCUGAGAUAAUUCUGCCAGGGUGUUGGCUGAUCGGUGAUUGGUGGUUGGCUGUUCCGUGAGUUCUGCAUUGAUCUUGCUGGCUGAGCGUCCAAUGCGGAGGGGCAGGUGCUGUUAGGGUCUCCACUCCCAUCCCUCUCCCCAGGACUCAUCACCCACUGCAACCGUAAGCUGCUAGGGGCUCACAGCCGUGAGUCUUUGGGACGGGUGGUCCCACCUGGCAUGUAGCUCAGGCUCCUAGCCCCAGGACCCUGCCGCUGCUCCCCUCCCGCCCACAUCUUGGCUUAGCCGUCUUCCCUGGCUGCCAGCCCCUUCCCCUGGUCUUAGUUGGCUUGAGCCACUAAACUGAAAUAGCACACCCUGAGGCCUUCAACAGCAGACCUGAUUUCUCACCAUCUGGAGGCUGGAGGUCCAGGAUCCAGGCCCCCAAGGCUGCUUUCUCCCCCACUCCCCCACCCACCUUCCAGGACACGCAGACUCCACCCUCUUGCUGCCCUGUCUCAGGGCUGUCCCUCUGGGCAAGCAGGCCCCUGGCAUCCCCGUGUGUCUUCUCCUCCUGUUCUUAUAAGGACACCAGUCAUACUGGAUCUGGGCCCACCCUAGUGACCUCAUUUACCUUAAUCACCUCUGAAAGACCUUGUCUCAAAAACAGCCACAUUCUGGGGCACUGAGGGUUAGGGCUUUAACAUGGGAAUUUGAGGGAUGCAAUUCACCCCAUAAAACCCAGACCAUUCCCCCAGUAAAUCACUUUCACAAGAGCUCUUCUCUCAGGCUUUGCUUCUGGGGGAUCCCCCUUGAGAUGGAUCCAUCUAGCUUCCUGCUUCUCAAAGAACAGAGGGGAGAGCUCUGGUGCGAAGGGAACGGGUGGCCUCGGGGACCUGCGGAUAAGCUGCUGGCACUGCCAGGGGACAGGCUGAGCUGAAAGCCAGGAGGAGGGCGGCGAGGCCCGGGGCCGGACCUCAUUCUUCUGAGUGUUAUAAAAUCUGGCUUUGCUCAGAAACUGCCCCAUGUGUGCUUUUGUUAAUUGAAGUGCAAAAUUUUCUCCAAGUAAUAACUGGAGUCGUUUAACAAUACAAAUAAUUUGCACCUUAAUUUGGUCGAUGGCACAAUUGCUAAUUCCUAGAGACUCAGAGGAGCAAAGUGAUCACGAAUUCCAAGAGUGGAAACAAAUCCAUUCCGCAAAUUUCACCCUGGCUUCUUCCUCGCCGGCCUGGGAGCUGCCCCGAGGGUCCUGGAACCUUCAGCUGCUUCCGGGCUCAGCCGGUGUCGUGGGGAGCCAGGUCCUGUGGUGGCUCCCAGCCCCAAAGCUGACUCUGCGUGGGACAACAAACGGUUUAAUUAACCUCUCAGCUUUUUCAUCUGUGAAGCGGAGCUUGGGAUGCUUGCCACCGGACCAGGAGGCCACGAAGACGGAUGUUAGAAAACCUCUGUGCCAGUGACGAAAGACAUCGAAGCUAUAAUACCCUGUUAGGCAAAGCAAGAAGAUAACUCAUACAUGCAGGAGACAGUCUCCUUGUGCAGAGGGGCCUUUGGAACCGAUGUAUGGUGGAGCCCUGAGAAACCUGAAGCUGUGUAGAGCCUGCAGCCCCCGCCCCACGUCCCAAAGCGAUGUGGCCUGGGGAGCUCUUGUCCUGCCCUUUUUGGACACCCCCCUUCUUUGAGGGCAUCUUUCUUCUUAAAGGUGUUGGGGCGGGAGUAGGUGGGGGUCUAGCUUUGCUGAUUUCCUUGUAAGUGCAUUUUAUUAUUAUUAUUAUUAUUAUUAUUAUUAUUAUUAUUAUUUUGAGACAGAAGCUCGCUCUGAUGAGCGAGAUUCAAAAUUAUUAUUUUGAGACGGGGUUUCACUAUGUUGGCCAGGCUGGUCUCGAACUCCUGACCUCAGGGAUCCACCCACCUCGGCCUCCCAAAGUGCUGGGAUUACAGGCAUGAGCCACUGCGCCCAGCCAAGUGCAUUGUUUUUAAAAGGGGUAAAUCAUCUAGUGAAACCCCAUCUCUAUUAAAAUACAAAAAUUAGCCAGGCCUGGUGGUGCACACCUGUAGUCCCAGCGACUCCAGAGUCUGAGGCAGGAGAAUCGCUUGAACCUGGGAGGCGGAGGUUGCAGUGAGCUGAGAUCGCGCCACUGCUCUCCAGCCUCGGUGACAGAGCGAGAUUCCGUCUCAAAAUAAUAAUAAUAAUAGUCUGUCUCUGUGUGUUUAAUUACAAGUAACUAACUAGUUACUGUUGCAACUCAUUUAUUUGGGGACAGGCUCCUAUCUAGUGUCCCACCACGAUAUUAUUUGGGCCAGGAAAGACAUACACAACCGAUGAAAGGCUGGGAGCUGAAUCUUAGUGCUAAAGAUUCGCUGUGGGAAAGCACAGAGCCUAGGAGUUUGCUAAGGGCCUGGGCUCCUACAGGCAGGCACCGCUGACUGAUAGCCAGAAGAUUCUAGACUCCCAGGCCACCGGUUUCUUGAAGUGGCAUUAACCCUGGCAGGCUCUUUGAAGUGUGUGCCCAGAGACUGGGUUGGUGGGGGGUCUGUGCAGGAGCCAGGCCACCUGUGCUCAGAGUCAGCAAUGCGCGUUUCUCUGUCCGUAAGUCAGCGGUGCGGGUCUCUGUGUGACUGUGUCAGGGUGCUCUUGGGAAGAGGGGUGAGGGGCUGUGGGCCUCGAGCUGACGGGACGGGCAGGAAGGCUCACCUACCGAGGACAGCAAGUCAGAGCCAACAGGGGAGCCCUCCGGGGAAAGGGCUUUCAAGCCCUGGCACCACCAAGGUUUCAACCAAGAGACGUUGAACCAGGUUCCAGUAGACAACCCGCUGUCAGGGUGCACAGACUGUGGAAACCAGUGAGAAGUCCUCUUCCUGUACAACACGGUGGCCAGUGCAUGGCUGCAGACCUCAGCCAAAAGCCCACAGCCAGGCCAGCAGUUACAGGCGGCAGCCGGUCUCUUGUCUUCCCAAGGCCCCAGCAGCUCUGUCCUUCCACACAGCCCCUGCUGACGGCCAUCGUUGGUAUGGACACAUCAGGCCUCCAGGCUGCUGCAGGGCCUGUCCCUGGUGGCAGCUGUGACAUUAGUCAUCGAGGGGCUCCCCUGGCCUCCCCUGGCUGGCUGGGAGUGAGGUGACAUAAAUAGACUGAGCAGGUAGCUCUGCAGACCACGGGAUCACCAGCGUCCCUUGUGGCCAGUGUGGCUUUAAAGUGUGUCCCAGAGGUGGCUCUUGAGGCAGUCUUGCUGGACUGUUAUUAGGCACAUCUGCUCCAGGGAGUGCCCAUUCAUUAUGGCCAAAUAAGCAGGCAUAGGCGCCGGCCCCAGACGAGGUCUCUGGGGAACUCCAGGGGUGGGAGAGCCACCCUCUCCAGCGGCCUCAGGGCCCCGGUGCUCGGAAGCCUGGCUCCUCUGGCUUGAGCUCAGGUCUACAGCGAGCAGGGAGUCUUCCUACUGCUGCUCCAAGCUGCCUGGGCCAGCUGUGUUCGCCGAGGGGGCUGCCGGCUCACCACUGCCUGCCUUGAGUGCCAGGGUCUUUUGUGAAAUAAUCAUGUUACUCAAGUUCAGUCCUUGAAUAAAUAGCACAUUUUUG